AGUGUCCAGGAAUGGGAAUCGAACCCACAUUGUUCCGCUUACUUGGCAGAUGCCAUGUCCACUAAGCUGGACAU
rnacentral:tRNA from 1 species